rnacentral:lncRNA from 1 species
AGUAAUAGAGAGAGAGGGAUAGUAAUAGAGAGAGAGGGAUAUUCAUAGAGAGAGAGGGAUAGUAAUAGAGAGAGACUGGGGAUAGUAAUAGAGAGAGAGGUGGGAUAGUAAUAAAGAGAUAGGGAUAGUAAUAGAGAGAGAGAGAGGAUAGUAAUAGAGAGAGAGGGAUAGUAAUGUAGAGAGAGGGAUAGUAAUAGAGAGAGAGGGAUAGUAAUGUAGAGAGAGGAUAUUCAUAGAGAGAGUGAUACUCAUAGAGAGAGAGGAUUGUAACAGAGAGAGGGAUAGUAAUACAGAGAGGGAUAGUAAUAGAGAGAGAGGGAUAGUAAUAGAGAGAGAGGGAUAUUCAUAGAGAGAGAGGAUAGUAAUAGAGAGAGAGGGAUAGUAAUAGAGAGAGAGGGAUAGUAAUAGAGAGAGAGGGAUAUUCAUAGAGAGAGGAUAGUAAUAGAGAGAGAGGAUAGUAAUAGAGAGAUAGGAUAGUAAUAGAGAGAGAGGAUAGUAAUAGGGACAGAGGGAUAGUAAUAGAGAGAGAGGAUAGUAAUAGAGAUAGAGGAUAGUAAUAGAGAGAGAGGGAUAGUAAUAGAGAGAGAGGGAUAUUCAUAGAGAGAGAGGAAUAGUAAUAGAGAGAGACUGGGGAUAGUAAUAGAGAGAUAGGGAUAGUAAAAGAGAGAGAGGAUAGUAAUAAAGAGAUAGGGAUAGUAAUAGAGAGAGAGGAUAGUACUAGAGAGAGAGGCAUAGUAAUAGAGAGAGAGGAUAGUAAUAGAGAGAUAGGGAUAGUAAUAGAGAGAGAGGAUAGUAAUAGAGAGAGAGGGAUAGUAAUAGAGAGAUAGGGAUAGUAAUAGAGAGAGAGGGAUAGUAAUAGAGAGAGAGGGAUAGUAAUAGAGAGAGGAUAGUAAUAGAGAGAGAGGAUAGUAAUAGAGAGAGAGGAGGGAUAGUAGUAGAGAGAGAGGUGGGAUAGUAAUAAAGAGAUAGGGAUAGUAAUAGAGAGAGAGAGGUGGGAUAGUAAUAAAGAGAUAGGGAUAGUAGUAGAGAGAGAGGGAUAGUAAUAGAGAUAGGGAUAGUAAUAGAGAGAGAGGAUAGUAAUAGAGAGAGAGGAUAGUAAUAGAGAGAGAGGAUAGUAAUAGAGAGAGAGGGAUAGUAAUAGAGAGAGAGGGAUAGUAAUAGAGAGAGAGGAUAGUAAUAGAGAGAGAGGAUAGUAAUAGAGAGAGAGGAUAGUAUUAGAGAGAGAGGAGGGAUAGUAAUAGAGAGAGAGGUGGGAUAGUAAUAAAGAGAUAGGGAUAGUAAUAGAGAGAGGGAUAGUAAUGUAGAGAGAGGAUAGUAAUGGAGAGAGGGGGAUAGUAAUAGAGAAAGAUGGAUAGUAAUAGAGAGAGAGGAUAGUAAUAGAGAGAGAGGGAUAGUAAUAGAGAGAGAGGGGAUAUAAUAGAGAGAGAGGGAUAUUCAUAGAGAGAGGAUAGUAAUAGAGAGAGAGGAUAGUAAUAGAGAGAUAGGAUAGUAAUAGAGAGAGAGGAUAGUAAUAGAGAGAG